UACGUAGGUGACAAGCGUUAUCCGGAUUUAUUGGGCGUAAAGCGCGCGCAGGCGGCCUCUUAAGUCUGAUGUGAAAUCUUGCGGCUCAACCGCAAGCGGCCAUUGGAAACUGGGGGGCUUGAGUACAGAAGAGGAGAGUGGAAUUCCACGUGUAGCGGUGAAAUGCGUAGAUAUGUGGAGGAACACCAGUGGCGAAGGCGACUCUCUGGUCUGUAACUGACGCUGAGGCGCGAAAGCGUGGGGAGCAAACAGG
rnacentral:rRNA from 1 species